UACGGAGGAUGCGAGCGUUAUCCGGAUUUAUUGGGUUUAAAGGGUGCGCAGGCGGAGGAUCAAGUCAGCGGUAAAAUAGCGGGGCUCAACCCCGUCGAGCCGUUGAAACUGGUUUUCUAGAGUGAGCGAGAAGUAUGCGGAAUGCGUGGUGUAGCGGUGAAAUGCAUAGAUAUCACGCAGAACUCCGAUUGCGAAGGCAGCAUACCGGCGCUCAACUGACGCUCAGGCACGAAAGCGUGGGUAUCGAACAGG
rnacentral:rRNA from 1 species